CCUUCUCUAUGUGGAGAAAUAAAUCUGUAUUGUAGCACAGAUUUGUUUUUUUUUUACUUUUGUAUUAAUUUGUUUAUAAAAUAAUGAAUUCUAAAUUAUUUGAUAUCUUUAAACCAAAAAAUUCUGAACCAGCAAUGACUUCUAAUCAAACAUCCAGCUUGGAUAUUGCAAAUAGUACAAAAUGAUCCAAAAAGAUCAAAAUUAGAGCCUGAUGCUCAUGCUAGUACAAAGACUCAUUUAACUCGUAUUGCUAAAAGGACAAGACAUUAAACAUAACUGUCAAAAAAACUGACACUGUUCAUACCUAUCUAAUAACUAGAAGUUGCCACUAAUAGGUAAUAUAUGGAAAGUCUAAUUGACAAAAAUUUAUUUAGUUUACAAGGCCUGACACAAUAAAAAUAAUUCAUCAUUAAAUCAAGGAAAUUUCAAUGAAACCUAUUGUUGUGACCGGGUUGGUACGGUAGACAAAAUGAAGUGAUAAUGCGUUUGAAUA